ACACAUUCCAACCAAUCAGCAGCAGACCCUCCCUCCCAGACUCUCCCACCUCCUGGACAGCAUCCAUUUUACAUUCAUUGUGAAGCUGCAUUCUUAGUGAGCUGUCCAGGAGGUGGGAGGGUCUGGGAGGGAGGGUCUGCUGCUGAUUGGCUGGAAUGU